rnacentral:rRNA from 1 species
GGAGGGUGCAAGCGUUAAUCGGAAUUACUGCGCGUAAAGCGCACGCAGGCGGUCCGUCAAGUCGGAUGUGAAAUCUCCGCGCUCAGCCUGGGAUCUGCAUUCGAAACUGGCAGGCUAGAGUCUUGUAGAGGGGGGUAGAAUUGCAGGCGUAGCGGUGAAAUGCGUAGAGAUCUGGAGGAAUACCGCUGGCGAAGGCGGCCCCCUGGACAAAGACUGACGCUCAGGUGCGAAAGCGUGGGGAGCAAACAGGAUUAGAUACCCUGGUAGUCCACGCCGUAAACGAUGUCGAUUUGGAGGUUGUGCCCUUGAGGCGUGGCUUCCGGAGCUAACGCGUUAAAUCGACCGCCUGGGGAGUACGGCCGCAAGGUUAAAACUCAAAUGAAUUGACGGGGGCCCGCACAAGCGGUGGAGCAUGUGGUUUAAUUCGAUGCAACGCGAAGAACCUUACCUGGUCUUGACAUCCACAGAACUUUCCAGAGAUGGAUUGGUGCCUUCGGGAACUGUGAGACAGGUGCUGCAUGGCUGUCGUCAGCUCGUGUUGUGAAAUGUUGGGUUAAGUCCCGCAACGAGCGCAACCCUUAUCCUUUGUUGCCAGCGGUUAGGCCGGGAACUCAAAGGAGACUGCCAGUGAUAAACUGGAGGAAGGUGGGGAUGACGUCAAGUCAUCAUGGCCCUUACGACCAGGGCUACACACGUGCUACAAUGGCAUAUACAAAGAGAAGCGACCUCGCGAGAGCAAGCGGACCUCAUAAAGUAUGUCGUAGUCCGGAUUGGAGUCUGCAACUCGACUCCAUGAAGUCGGAAUCGCUAGUAAUCGUAGAUCAGAAUGCUACGGUGAAUACGUUCCCGGGCCUUGUACACACCGCCCGUCACACCAUGGGAGUGGGUUGCAAAAGAAGUAGGUAGCUUA